AACGUACGCUGGCGGCACGCCUAAUACAUGCAAGUCGAACGGGGUAGCAAUACCUAGUGGCAGACGGGUGAGUAACAUGUGGGUACCUUCCCUUUGGUGAGGAAUAACACGAGGAAACUUGUGCUAAUACCUCAUAAGUCUUUACGGAGAAAGCUUUAUGCGCCAAUGGAUGGGCCCGCACUUGAUUAGUUAGUUGGUGAGGUAAUGGCUUACCAAGACUUUGAUCAAUAGCUGAUUUGAGAGGAUGAUCAGCCACAUUGGGACUGAGACACGGCCCAAACUCCUACGGGAGGCAGCAGUAGGGAAUCUUGCACAAUGGAGGAAACUCUGAUGCAGCGAUGCCGCGUGAGUGAAGAAGGCCUUUGGGUUGUAAAGCUCUUUCGUCGGGGAAGAAAAUGACUGUACCCGAAUAAGAAGGUCCGGCUAACUUCGUGCCAGCCGCCGCAGUAA
rnacentral:rRNA from 1 species